rnacentral:rRNA from 1 species
UACGUAGGGUGCAAGCGUUGUCCGGAAUUAUUGGGCGUAAAGAGCUCGUAGGCGGUUUGUCGCGUCGGCUGUGAAAACCCGAGGCUCAACCUCGGGCCUGCAGUCGAUACGGGCAAACUAGAGUACUGCAGGGGAGACUGGAGUUCCUGGUGUAGCGGUGAAAUGCGCAGAUAUCAGGAGGAACACCGGUGGCGAAGGCGGGUCUCUGGGCAGUAACUGACGCUGAGGAGCGAAAGCGUGGGGAGCGAACAGG